rnacentral:rRNA from 1 species
CGUGCUUAACACAUGCAAGUCGCACGAGAACGCUUCAGCUUGCUGAGAUAGUAAAGUGGCGCACGGGUGAGUAACGCGUGGGUAACCUACCUCCGGAUUGGGGAUAACAUUGCGAAAGCGAUGCUAAUACCGAAUAAUAUCUUUUGCACCUCGGUGUUUAAGAUCAAAGAUGGCCUCUCCUUGGAAGCUAUCGUUUGGAGACGGGCCCGCGUACCAUUAGCUAGUUGGUAGGGUAACGGCCUACCAAGGCUACGAUGGUUAGCUGGUCUGAGAGGAUGAUCAGCCACACUGGAACUGACACACGGUCCAGACUCCUACGGGAGGCAGCAGUGAGGAAUUUUGCGCAAUGGGGGAAACCCUGACGCAGCAACGCCGCGUGAGUGAUGAAGGCUUUCGGGUCGUAAAGCUCUGUCAAGUGGGAAGAACCUACAUGGUGAUAAUACCGCCAUGUACUGACGGUACCACUGAAGGAAGCACCGGCUAACUCCGUGCCAGCAGCCGCGGUAAUACGGGGGGUGCAAGCGUUACUCGGAGUUACUGGGCGUAAAGCGCGCGUAGGCGGUCCAUUAAGUCAGAUGUGAAAGCCCGGGGCUCAACCCCGGAAGUGCAUUUGAAACUAAAGGACUUGAGUAUGGGAGAGGGAAGUGGAAUUCCUGGUGUAGCGGUGAAAUGCGUAGAUAUCAGGAGGAACACCGGUGGCGAAGGCGACUUCCUGGACCAAUACUGACGCUCAGGCGCGAAGGCGUGGGGAGCAAACAGGAUUAGAUACCCUGGUAGUCCACGCAGUAAACGGUGAACACUAGGUGUAGCGGGUAUUGACCCCUGCUGUGCCGCAGCUAACGCAUUAAGUGUUCCGCCUGGGAAGUACGGCCGCAAGGCUAAAACUCAAAGGAAUUGACGGGGGCCCGCACAAGCGGUGGAGCAUGUGGUUUAUUUCGACGCAACGCGAAAACCUUACCUGGAUUUGACAUCCCGGGAAUCUCUUGA